rnacentral:rRNA from 1 species
AUUGAACGCUGGCGGCAUGCCUUACACAUGCAAGUCGAACGGCAGCACGGGUGCUUGCACCUGGUGGCGAGUGGCGAACGGGUGAGUAAUACAUCGGAACAUGUCCUGUAGUGGGGGAUAGCCCGGCGAAAGCCGGAUUAAUACCGCAUACGAUCUACGGAUGAAAGCGGGGGACCUUCGGGCCUCGCGCUAUAGGGUUGGCCGAUGGCUGAUUAGCUAGUUGGUGGGGUAAAGGCCUACCUAGGCGACGAUCAGUAGCUGGUCUGAGAGGACGACCAGCCACACUGGGACUGAGACACGGCCCAGACUCCUACGGGAGGCAGCAGUGGGGAAUUUUGGACAAUGGGCGAAAGCCUGAUCCAGCAAUGCCGCGUGUGUGAAGAAGGCCUUCGGGUUGUAAAGCACUUUUGUCCGGAAAGAAAUCCUUGGCCCUAAUACGGUCGGGGGAUGACGGUACCGGAAGAAUAAGCACCGGCUAACUACGUG